GGGGGUAUAGCUCAGUUGGUAGAGCACUUGACUGGCAGUCAAGGGGUCAGGGGUUCAAAUCCCCUUACCUCCACCA
rnacentral:tRNA from 2 species